GUGCCAGCAGCCGCGGUAAUACGUAGGGGGCGAGCGUUGUCCGGAAUUACUGGGCGUAAAGGGCGUGUAGGCGGUAAGAUAAGUUAGAUGUGAAAACUUGAGGGCUCAACCCGAAGACUGCAUCUAAAACUGUCAUACUUGAGGAUGAGAGAGGAAAGUGGAAUUCCUAGUGUAGCGGUGAAAUGCGUAGAUAUUAGGAGGAACACCAGUGGCGAAGGCGACUUUCUGGCUCAUACCUGACGCUGAGGCGCGAAAGCGUGGGGAGCAAACAGGAUUAGAUACCCUGGUAGUCCACGCCGUAAACGAUGGAUACUAGGUGUAGGAGGUAUCGACCCCUUCUGUGCCGUAGCAAACGCAAUAAGUAUCCCGCCUGGGGAGUACGGUCGCAAGACUGAA
rnacentral:rRNA from 1 species